UGUUAUGUGGGCGGUUUUCCGCCGUGUCUCCUUUGCUUGGAUAGGUCAAGACAUACUUGUAAGAACUAUUAUCAUAUUACACUUGUUACCUUUUCAAUUUUUUGUCUUCAUUUUCAAAAUCCAGCAGUCUACCUUUGUAGUGCAAUGAUCUACACACAGUCAAAGAUAUGCUUUAAUGUAACAUUUGGCAUGGGAUGAUGUGUAAUCAUUGAUAUGUAAACGUAGUGCAAUGAUCUACCCACGGUCAAAGAUAUGCUUUAAUGUAACAUUUGGCAUGGGAUGAUGUGUAAUCAUUGAUAUGUAAACGGUUUUGAUAUGUUCUUCUGCGCAAGUGAAAAUUGUAAAGGAUUAACAUUUUGUAGUGGUGAUAGAAACUUAUUCAGUCAAAGAAAUAAACUCGUUUUUAUGUACUUCAAAGAAAAAAGAAGCUGUUUGGAUUUUGUCAACACGAAGUCAUGAUAUGAUUGAAAAAGUGGUACACAUGUACCUAAAUAUAUUUAUUGUGAGAAAAAAGUUCUGGUAAAAACCUAAGCACUUAUAUUAACCUACCUGCAUUCUUGGACACCUUUUUAUCUCUCUUUUGUAAAAAGAAUAAUGGUAACUUUCUUUCCCAUGGAACUACUAUACUUCUGCUGAGAUAUCAUAUUUUCUGUAAAAAGUGAAAUUAAUCAUACCUGUAAAGUGUAUUUUAUGCGGACAUGGGAAAUGUGUAGCUUCUUGGUUCGAGUUAGUUUGUUUGGUGUGUGUUUAUGCCGAGAGAUCAGUGGGCAUGCUUAGGCAUAUUUCCCCUCUUGGAAUUCCGCUUCUAUCUUUUUCUCCAUGGGUUGCCUGAUCUCAAGAGACAAAAAUAUUAAUAUUUUUUAAUUAUUUAUCGGAAAAGGGUCAGAACCGCCCCUAACGUAUUGACUUCAGGUUAAAAAUACCCUCCGUUAACCUAUUUUGAAGAAAAUGCCCCUACCGUUAACAUUCUGGCAUAAUUGUGCCCCUAAAUCUAACAAGUCAGUUUAAAAUGCCCCAACUGUUAACCUAUUUUGAAAAAAAUGCCCCUACCGUUUUAAAUAUAAGUACAGUCAGUUGUUAACCUGUAAAGAGUAUUUUAUGCACACAUGGGAAAUGUGAUGUUUUAGCUUUUUGGUUCGAGUUAGUUUGUUUGGUGUGUGUUUAUGCCGAGAGAUCAGUGGGAAUGCUUAGGCAUCUUUUCCCUGUUGGAAUUACGCGUCUAUUUUUUU
rnacentral:lncRNA from 1 species